rnacentral:rRNA from 1 species
UACAGAGGUCUCAAGCGUUGUUCGGAUUCAUUGGGCGUAAAGGGUGCGUAGGCGGCGCGGUAAGUCGGGUGUGAAAUCUCGGGGCUUAACUCCGAAACUGCAUUCGAUACUGCCGUGCUUGAGGACUGGAGAGGAGACUGGAAUUUACGGUGUAGCAGUGAAAUGCGUAGAGAUCGUAAGGAAGACCAGUGGCGAAGGCGGGUCUCUGGACAGUUCCUGACACUGAGGCACGAAGGCCAGGGGAGCAAACGGG